rnacentral:lncRNA from 1 species
CCACUGUGUUCUUAGACCUUCAAUGCUGCAGAUUUAUUUUUGGUACCCUUCCCCAGAUCUGUGCCUCGACACAAUCCUGUCUCGGAGCUCUACGGACAGUUCCUUCGACCUCAUGGCUUGGUUUCUGCUCUACCUGUCAACUGUGGGACCUUAUAUAGACAGGUGUGAGCCUUUCCAAAUCAUGUCCUAUCAAUUUAAUUUACCACAGGUGGACUUCAAUCAAGUUGUAGAAACAUCUCAAGGAUGAUCAAUGGAAACAGGAAGCACCUGAACUCCAUUUGGAGCCUCAUAGCAAAGGGUCUGAAUACUGAUCAGGUCUGUCACUGAUGUGAAUCAGCUUUCUGUAGAUGGAUUAAACAACUGUUUUCCUCCAUUGUAGAAUAAGGCUGUAACGUAACAGAUGGAUUAAACAACUGUUUUCCUCCAUUGUAGAAUAAGGCUGUAACGUAACAGAUGGAUUAAACAACUGUUUUCCUCCAUUGUAGAAUAAGGCUGUAACGUAACAGAUGGAUUAAAUAACUGUUUUCCUCCAUUGUAGAAUAAGGCUGUAACGUAACAGAUGGAUUAAAUAACUGUUUUCCUCCAUUGUAGAAUAAGGCUGUAACGUAACAGAUGGAUUAAACAACUGUUUUCCUCCAUUGUAGAAUAAGGCUGUAACGUAACAGAUGGAUUAAACAACUGUUUUCCUCCAUUGUAGAAUAAGGCUGUAACGUAACAGAUGGAUUAAAUAACUGUUUUCCUCCAUUGUAGAAUAAGGCUGUAACGUAACAAAAUGUGUAACAAGGGAAGGGGUCUGAAUCCUUUCCGAAUGCACUGUAUUUGUUAGCGUACGUGUGACCGUCUGUCUCCAGGUUGAAGUCCAUGUGUAGAGACGUGUCCUCUUCAGCUGUGGUCUACAGACCUCUGGGAACACUGAAACGCACCAGACCAGAGCAGCAAACCCACGAUGUGGACCGUGCUGAUUGGCUGUUUGAGAGGGCGGACCUGGCCCCUGUCAGGAAGAGGGUGAUGAUGCAGGAGGCCACACCCACAACGCUCACUAACCCUCCCGACGAUCCUCUUCCCUUCACACCUCUCGUCACGGGGAGACUACAUGGACUGUACCGAAUCUAAUGACGAUGAGGAGGGGGA